rnacentral:rRNA from 1 species
GAAGGUGGCGAGCGUUGUUCGGUGUUACUGGGCUUAAAGGGUGUGUAGGCGGAUACGUAAGCGUCACGUGAAAUCCCUCGGCUUAACCGAGGAAUUGCUUGGCGAACUGCGUAUCUUGAGGCAGGUAGGGGUCAGUGGAACUCUUGGUGGAGCGGUGGAAUGCGUAGAUAUCAAGAGGAACGCCGGUGGAGAAAUCGGCUGACUGGGCCUGUUCUGACGCUGAGACACGAAAGCGUGGGUAGCGAACGGGGGAUUAGAUACCCCGGUAGUCCACGCCGUAAACGAUGUCUACUAGGUUGCGGAGGUUCUGACGCCGUCGCGACCGAAGCAAAAGUGUUAAGUAGACCGCCUGGGGGAGUACGGUCGCAAGGCUAA